GGCAACCCUGAUCCAGCCAUGCCGCGUGUGUGAAGAAGGCCUUAGGGUUGUAAAGCACUUUCAGUAGGGAGGAAGGCCCAGUAGUUAAUAUCUGCAGGGAUUGACGUUACCUACAGAAGCAGCACCGGCUAACUCCGUGCCAGCAGCCGCGGUAAUACGGAGGGUGCAAGCGUUAAUCGGAAUUACUGGGCGUAAAGCGCGCGUAGGCGGUUUGUUAAGUGAGAUGUGAAAGCCCAGGGCUCAACCUUGGAACUGCAUCUCAUACUGGCAGGCUAGAGUACGGUAGAGGGGGGUAGAAUUCCA
rnacentral:rRNA from 1 species